rnacentral:rRNA from 1 species
CCUACGGGAGGCUGCAGUGGGGAAUUUUGCGCAAUGCUCGUAAGAGUGACGCAGCGACGCCGCGUGAAUGACGAAGGCCUUCGGGUCGUAAAGUUCUAUCGACAGGGAAGAAAAUGCUUAUAAGUAACUGUGUAUGUAUUGACGGUACCUGUAUAAGCAGCCCCGGCUAACUCCGUGCCAGCAGCCGCGGUAAUACGGAGGGGGCGAGCGUUGUUCGGAGUUACUGGGCGUAAAGAGCACGUAGGCGGUGUUGUAAGUCAUUAGUCAAAGACUAGAGCUCAACUUUAGUAAGGCUAGUGAUACUAGAAAACUAGAGUAUCAGAGAGGAUUGCAGAAUUCCUGGUGUAGCGGUGAAAUGCGUAGAUAUCAGGAGGAAUACCGUUGGCGAAGGCGGCAAUCUGGCUGGAAACUGACGCUGAGGUGCGAAAGCGUGGGUAGCAAACAGGAUUAGAUACCCUUGUAGUC